UGUUUUGGCCACUUUCUCCCAUUUGGAAUGGCUUUAUUUACCCAAUGCCUGCACCUCCAUUGCAUCUAGAAAGUAACUGGCUUGCUUUUGAUUUUACAGGCUCAUAGGUGGAAGGGACUUGCCUUGUCUCAGAUAAGACUUUGGACUGUGGACUUUUGGGUUAAUGCUGAAAUGAGUUAACACUUUGACGGGCUGUUGGGAAUGCAUGAUUGGUUUUGAAACUUGAGCACAUGA